rnacentral:ribozyme from 1 species
UGCCCAGCAACUCCUAUCCCUACCUCCUCGGGGAGCUGGACGGGGUACGAGUAACCUUAGGGAAGAUCAGGUAACCAACCCCGGUGGGAACGUAUGCUGACAGAGAAGG